rnacentral:rRNA from 1 species
AACGCUAGCUACAGGCUUAACACAUGCAAGUCGAGGGGCAGCAUUGGAGUAGCAAUACUUCAGAUGGCGACCGGCGCACGGGUGAGUAACACGUAUCCAACCUGCCGCUUACUCGGGGAUAGCCUUUCGAAAGAAAGAUUAAUACCCGAUGGUAUCUUAAGCGCACAUGCAAAUAAGAUUAAAGAUUUAUCGGUAAGCGAUGGGGAUGCGUUCCAUUAGAUAGUAGGCGGGGUAACGGCCCACCUAGUCAACGAUGGAUAGGGGUUCUGAGAGGAAGGUCCCCCACAUUGGAACUGAGACACGGUCCAAACUCCUACGGGAGGCAGCAGUGAGGAAUAUUGGUCAAUGGGCGCGAGCCUGAACCAGCCAAGUAGCGUGAAGGAUGAAGGUCCUACGGAUUGUAAACUUCUUUUAUAAGGGAAUAAAGUCACCUACGUGUAGGUGUUUGUAUGUACCUUAUGAAUAAGCAUCGGCUAACUCCGUGCCAGCAGCCGCGGUAAUACGGAGGAUGCGAGCGUUAUCCGGAUUUAUUGGGUUUAAAGGGAGCGUAGACGGGUCGUUAAGUCAGCUGUGAAAGUUUGAGGCUCAACCUUAAAAUUGCAGUUGAUACUGGCGUCCUUGAGUACGGUUGAGGCAGGCGGAAUUCGUGGUGUAGCGGUGAAAUGCUUAGAUAUCACGAAGAACUCCGAUUG